GCCUACAGCAGCCGAGAAAAAACUAGAAAGGACCCUAGAGGAAAAAGCACUCAGAGAGACUUCUCUUCCUAUAAAAAACUGGAGAAAGUGAGAGGGAGAGAGUUACUUUUGGAGUGUGCGAUUUUGAUUCAGUUAAGAUCUAUUUAAAAAUUGAAAUAAAAUUAAAAUUUCGAUAUGAUUCUAAUUUCGGUUCUAAUUCUUCAUUAUUUUGAUUUAGAUUUGAUACAAUUGUCGAUUCUUUUG
rnacentral:misc_RNA from 1 species